rnacentral:rRNA from 1 species
AAGGAAUUGACGGGGGCCCGCACAAGCGGAGGAACAUGUGGUUUAAUUCGAUGAUACGCGAGGAACCUUACCCGGGCUCGAACGGUGCAUGAAUAUACGAGAGAUUGCAUAGUCCUUCGGGACAUGUAUUGAGGUGCUGCAUGGUUGUCGUCAGCUCGUGCCGUGAGGUGUCGGCUUAAGUGCCAUAACGAGCGCAACCCUUGUCAUUAGUUGCCAUCAGGUCAAGCUGGGGACUUUAAUGAGACUGCCACCGUAAGGUGUGAGGAAGGGGGGGAUGACGUCAAAUCAGCACGGCCCUUAUGUCCGGGGCGACACACGUGUUACAAUGGGAGGUACAGAGGGCAGCUAUCCGGUGACGGAAUGCUAAUCUCCAAAACCUUUCUCAGUUCGGAUUGGAGUCUGCAACUCGACUCCAUGAAGGUGGAUUCGCUAGUAAUCGCGCAUCAGCCAUGGCGCGGUGAAUACGUUCCCGGGCCUUGUACACACCGCCCGUCAAGCCAUGGAAGCUUGGGGUGCCUGAAGUUCGUGACCGCAAGGAGCGACCUAAGGCAAAACAGGUAACUGGGGCUAAGUCGUAACAAGGUAGCCGUAAAGGG